UUGAUGAAAGUACAUUUCAUUUUCUUCGAUGAAAUUUCUGUUCUAUUUAAAGAUUUGUAAUAUUUUAUAGAUCUGUAAGAAUUGUUGCUGAUCAUAGGCUUCCCAAUAAAUUAAUUGAACAAGACUCAUGCUAGCUUACCAGUUCAAAAUAUAGCUAAUAUACACAAUAUACAGGUUUCAAUGUUUCAGCAUUGGUAGUUCGAGGAACGAGCGCUCAAAAGACCCAGAUACUUCUAAUAUUCCAGGUAUGUUUGAGGUCUAAAGCUAAAUAGGCCAAAUCCAGGUUUCAUCUUGAUUAGGGCUCACAGUUUAAGUUGUUUCAAAGAAAAAAAUGUAAUUUCAUUCCUUUAUAAAUUGUAUUACUUUAGUUAUAAAUUCCUGUUAACCCAUGGCCGUGCUCAAAACAGAAAAUUGAAGAAAAAACUCUGGUGUAUGAUUGCCGAGCCCUAAAAAUUUCGGACUGCACAACAAUGUUUUUCUUUUUUUCAUUAUCUGCUUGAUUGGUACUGUCAUCGCGGUAAAUGAGAAAUUUGAAAAUAAUAAAAAAGUAAAAUAUAGGUUUAAAACAA